rnacentral:rRNA from 1 species
UACGUAGGGGGCAAGCGUUGGUCCGGAUUUAUUGGGCGUAAAGAGCGUGUAGGCGGUCAAAGCAGGUCCACUGUCGAAAACUCGAGGCUCAACCUCGACGAGGUCGGUGGAAACCGUAUGGACUAGAGUCCGGAAGAGGAGAGUGGAAUUCCCGGUGUCAGCGGUGGAAUGCGCAGACUAUCAGGAAGAACACCCGUGGCGAAGGCGGCUCUCUGGGACGGUACUGACGCUGAGACGCGAAAGCGUGGGGAGCGAACAGG